GACGACUUUUAUUUCAUAUUUCCAUACUGACAAUCGAACUUCAGAAGAAAAUUUUAUUGAACAUACGAGAAAAGUGAUUGACAACUUAUAUUCAUAGAGUUUCGCUACUGUGGAAAAUUCAAUUCAAUAACGAACCAUCACUUCCCGUAAUGGUAGAAGAACAGCGUCCACUGCAUUACCUACAUAAUUAUCAUCUGAUAGAAUAAUGUAUUCAAAAAUGUGAAUUUACAAACAUAGUGAAUAUAUUAAAUUGUAUUGUAUCACCAUGGAGGUUUGUACUAAGUAUUGGACAAUUUGUUAAGAAGUGUAUAAAAUUUUUACUACUGUAUUCGACCCAAACAAAUAAUCGAAUGAUCACCUAUGGAAGGAUCCAGUCUCAUCAUAACGCGGACACACUCUUUGAACCACUGCGCAGGUUAUCUCUAAUUGCCUACUAACAGCACGCAGACCAAGUCCAUUUUAGAUUAAAGCAAUAACUUGGGCGGCUUUUUGUGAUACAAACACCACAUAAACACGUUUCAUUUGUUUACCGGUUGCUACGGAUAUAAACGAUAAGCCAUGCUGAUUAAUUUAUACUCUCAUCAAAGCAUAAUAAAUUGUCUUCCAAACAGCA